rnacentral:pre_miRNA from 1 species
ACUUGAGUCUUUCGAGCAGAACUUUGAAAAAAAAUGUUUUGUUCGUUCGGCUCGAGUCA